rnacentral:piRNA from 1 species
UACUACAAACCUGGUCAGAAACUCACGGC